GGGGGCGUACUUGGUUUCGACGGGGGUAUGUUGUAUUUGAGAAGCGAGUCGAGGGAACCUGUGGGCCCGCGUUAAAAAACUAUGGGAUUAAAUUUAAACGCAAACGAAAAUAAUAAUUUAGCUUUAGCAGCUUAGUCUGCUGGCCGUCAGCCCGGGAGGACCACGAACUGGAGUCUGGCGUCGAUAGUGGUGAAACGAGCCUGAGUAAGCUUUGCCUCAGGAACGGAAUUUAUGAAGCUACUGAAACUGAAAGCCUGUCCAUGGGCGCUCAGUAGAGGGAAUGUAAAAAUAUGGACUGCACUCGGAGAUGCUCACGUAUUGCGACUUUCGGACAUGGGUUCGACACCCAUCGCCUCCACCA
rnacentral:tmRNA from 1 species